AUCAGAUCUUAUCUGUUCUAGUGCCGUCACUGUUGGUCAUGCAAUGAGAGAAGCUUCCAUACUAAGAGAAAAACUAACAGAGGACAAGGAGCCAAUGCCUCAACUGAGAACAGAGACUCUCACUGACAGUCAAAUCCUACACAAGGCUGCAGGUAUCCUAAGGAGAAGUAUGGAAGAGGUUAGGCAUGAGCCUCAGUUCUACACAGGGAGUGACACGCUUUCCCUUCUCCAGUGCAGUAAAUAUGUACCAGCAGAAGUGUAUGAUUUUGUUGACUGGUGCAUUAAUUCUGAUGCCUUCAGAAAACUGCAGACCUGUAUUGAUGACCCAGCUCUAAAGAAAAAUCUACGUGUGAUAACUUUUUGCCAUGGUCUAAUUGCACAGUGCUGUAGCCGACUAACACCUAUCACCCUAGGACUUGGCAUUAUGAUCCACCAUGAGUUUGGCAGCAAGUCCCUUAUCAACAAGCUACACAUGAUGGGUCACUGUGUGUCUUAUGAUGAAGUGCAUCAGUUUCUCACAUCUGCAGCAGCAGAUCAGUUACAAAGAAGCAAACGUGUUUACAUUCCUAAUGGACUAACAAGAAGUACAGAACACGGGAUGAUUGAUGCUGCCAUUGAUAACUUUGACCAGAAUGAAGAGACACUGGAUGGCAAGAAUACAACACACUGCAUGGCAAUAGUUGUAUACAGAAGAGGUGAUGAUGCUACAGUACACAACCCCAUCAAACGAGUUCCAGAGAGAUCUCUCACUGCUCUGAACAGCUGUGAUUUGGAUAAUGAAGAAGUUCAGAGGUACAUUAAGCCACCUAGGCGACCUGAACCACCAGCAGUUCCACAGCAAGUCAUAAAAUCAGACAGCACAAAAUCACAAACAGCAGAGGGCCAAGACUUACUUUGGAAGGUGAGUCGAGUCAUGAAAGAAGAAAAACAGAGAAUCCCAGGAUGGUCUGCAUUCAAUGCUUUCAUAUCCACAUCAAGCACUCCAUUAACCACAGUACAAUAUAUGCCCUUCAUAAGAGCUUCACCGUCAGACCUAUCUACUAUCUACACAGCUCUUCUGAAGCUCACAGAGCUAGCUGAAGAACUUGGACAGAGGCAUAUUCUCGUAACUGCUGAUCUUGCCAUCUAUAGCAAAGCACAAGAGAUUCUAUGGAGUAAACCUGAGGCCUUGGUAGGGAAGGUUACAAUGAGAAUGGGAGGAGUGCACAUCACAAUGGCCUUUCUGGCAAGUAUUGGAAAGUUGUAUGCUGAUGGGGGUCUCUUUAACAUUAUAACUGAGUCUGGGGUGUAUGCAGAAGCAACAGCUCGACAGAUGCUUCAAGGAAAACAACUUGCAAGAGGUGUAAGGUGCAUCAAGCUUGUAUCUGAGGCUCUGUUCAGGCUCUUCUGGAUUGGUAUAGUGUCCUGGCUUGACAAACAAGGCUCAAGUCCAUUGACUGGUGCACAAAAGCACCUGCUGCAAGAUGUACAGCAUGCCUUUUAUGGCAACGACCAGGUCUCUGCCAGACAGUUCUUAAAUGAAGUGGAGACAGACCUUCCUGAGCUGAAAAGCAAAAUACAGCAGUUUUCAGAGAGUGGAGUUCAACAAUCAGCAACUUUUAAGUACUGGCUGAAUUUCAUCAAAGGGGCUGACCUCUUACUAAGAAUGCUACGUUCGGAGCAUGAGGCUAACUUUGAACUUCAUCUCAGCUGCAUGUCUGAAGCAAUACCAUGGUUCUGGGCUGCUGGUAGGAUGAACUAUGCAAAAUACAUGCCAGUGUACAUAGCUGAAAUGAAAACUCUUGAGAAAAGCCAACCAGAUUCCUACAAAUUCAUGAAAGAUGGAGGGUUUGUGGUGCGACGUUCAGCCGAGAGAAACUUUAACUGCGUAGCCACAGAUCAAGCUCUUGAACAAACCAUAAACAGGGAAGGAAAAAGUCAAGGGGGCAUUGUUGGCUUCACUCUACGAAAGGGAGCUUUGAAAAGGUGGCUCAUGACAAGGCAUGUCACCAGCGAGUACUGUGAUGCUAUGACAGAGCUCUGUGAUGGAGCAGCACAUGCACCAAAAUCCCACAAAGAGCAUGGAGCAGCCCGAAUGGACAGGGAUGAAAGGGACAUUGUACAGAUAAUGGAGUUUAUGCAAGACAGACAGAACCCCUUCGAUUUGGAGAAAGUUCCUGCUGAGCUAAUCAACAUUGCAAGUGGACAAGUGGCAUCACAACAGGUGACAAAGUAUCUCUCAAGCUUUCUGGAAGAUGGGGAAAAGAGAAGUGCAGCUUUUAUUGAUGAACGCCUAAAGAGUGAAACACCAAAAAGUUUCUGGGACCCCGAGAAAAGACCAAAAAUGGCAACCUUUACGGAUAUGAAAGCAAGC
ensembl:lncRNA